UAGGGAAUAUUAGAAAUGGACGAAAGUCUGAUCUAGCAACACCGCGUGUGCGAAGAAGGCCUUCGGGUCGUAAAGCACUUUUUGGAAGGAAUAGGAAGGAAUGUACUUCCAGAAUAAGUCUCGGCUAACUACGUGCCAGCAGCCGCGGUAACACGUAGGAGGCAAACGUUAUCCGGAUUUACUGGGCGUAAAGCGCGUGUAGGUGGUACUGUAAGUAGGGCGUGAAAUCUCCUGGCUCAACUGGGAGAGGCCGUUCUAAACUACAGAACUAGAGGAUGGUAGAGGGAGGUGGAAUUCCAGGUGUAGCGGUGGAAUGCGCAGAUAUCCGGAGGAACACCAGUGGCGAAAGCGGCCUCCUGGACCACUCCUGACACUCAGACGCGAAAGCUAGGGUAGCAAACA
rnacentral:rRNA from 1 species